AUCUUUUCUUGGCUUUUUAGCUAAAAAAAAAAAAAAAAUCUGUUCUUAUCAGUUUAAUAUCUGAUACGUCCCCUACCCGGGGACCAUAUAUUAAAUUGAUUUUUGGAGCAGGGAGAUGGAAUAGGGGCUUGCUCCGUCCACUCCACGCAUCGACCUGGUAUUUCAGUAUUUCUAGGAACGGUGCACCCCCU
rnacentral:snRNA from 1 species